rnacentral:rRNA from 1 species
UACGGUAGGGGCCAAGCGUUGUCCGGAUUUAUUGGGCGUAAAGAGCUCGUAGGCGGUUGGGUAAGUCGGGUGUGAAAACUCCAGGCUCAACUUGGAGAGGCCACCCGAUACUGCUCUGACUUGAGUUCGGUAGGGGAGUGGGGAAUUCCUGGUGUAGCGGUGAAAUGCGCAGAUAUCAGGAGGAACACCGGUGGCGAAGGCGCCACUCUGGGCCGAAACUGACGCUGAGGAGCGAAAGCGUGGGUAGCAAACAGG